rnacentral:sRNA from 1 species
CAGAGUUGCAAAACUCCCACAAACCAUCGCGAAUCUUACCCGGACGGUUGCCUCGGCGCUGGCGGUCCGGAAGGCCCUCGGGCCCCCGGAUCCUCGGGUCUCCCGCUCGCGGGAGGCUGCCCGCCGGAGUGCCGAAACCAAACUCUUGAUAUUUUUUUGUCUCUCCAAGUAAAACUUUUAAAUAAGUCAAAACUUUCAACAACGGAUCUCUUGGUUCUGGCAUCGAUGAAGAACGCAGCGAAAUGCGAUAAGUAAUGUGAAUUGCAGAAUUCAGUGAAUCAUCGAAUCUUUGAACGCACAUUGCGCUCGCCAGUAUUCUGGCGAGCAUGCCUGUUCGAGCGUCAUUUCAACCAUCAAGCUCUGCUUGCGUUGGAGAUCCGCGUCUGACGCGGUCUCUCAAAACCAGUGGCGGGCUCGCUAGUCACACCGAGCGUAGUAACUCUACAUCGCUAUGGUCGUGCGGCGGGUUCUUGCCGUAAAACCCCCCAAUUUUUAAGGUUGACCUCGGAUCAGGUAGGAAUACCCGCUGAACUUAAGCAUAUCAAUAA